rnacentral:rRNA from 1 species
CUGAACUUAAGCAUAUCAAUAAGCGGAGGAAAAGAAACCAACAGGAUUGCCCCAGUAACGGCGAGUGAAGCGGCAACAGCUCAAAUUUGAAAUGCUCCCCCGGGCCCGAGUUGUAAUUUGCAGAGGAUGCUUUUGGCGAGGUGCCUUCCGAGUUCCCUGGAACGGGACGCCACAGAGGGUGAGAGCCCCGUCUGGUCGGACACCGAGCCUCUGUAAAGCUCCUUCGACGAGUCGAGUAGUUUGGGAAUGCUGCUCAAAAUGGGAGGUAUAUGUCUUCUAAAGCUAAAUAUUGGCCAGAGACCGAUAGCGCACAGUAGAGUGAUCGAAAGAUGAAAAGCACUUUGAAAAGAGGGUUAAAAAGUACGUGAAAUUGUUGAAAGGGAAGCGCCCAUGACCAGACUUGGCGGCGAAUCAGGCUUCUCGCCGGUGCACUUCGCCGGCACAGGCCAGCAUCAGUUUGGCGCGGGGGAAAAAGGCUCUGGGAAUGUGGCUCCCCCGGGAGUGUUAUAGCCCACCGCGUAAUACCCUGCGCCGGACUGAGGUACGACUCACUGCAAGGAUGCUGGCGUAAUGGUCAUCAGCGAACCCGUCUUGAAACACGGACCAAGGAGUCGUCUUCGUAUGCGAGUGUUCGGGUGUCAAACCCCUACGCGGAAUGUAAGUGAACGCUGGUGAGAGCUUCGGCGCAUCAUCGACCGAUCCUGAUGUUCUCGGAUGGAUUUGAGUAAGAGCAUACGGGGCCGGACCCGAAAGAAGGUGAACUAUGCCUGUAUAGGGUGAAGCCAGAGGAAACUCUGGUGGAGGCUCGCAGCGGUUCUGACGUGCGAAUCGAUCGUCAAAUAUGGGCAUGGGGGCGAAAGACUAAUCGAACCUUCUAGUAGCUGGUUUCCGCCGAAGUUUCCUCAGGAUAGCAGUGUUGAACUCAGUUUUAUGAGGUAAAGCGAAUGAUUAGGGACUCGGGGGCGCUAUAUUGCCUUCAUCCAUUCUCAAACUUUAAAUAUGUAAGAAGCCCUUGUUACUUGACUGAACGUGGGCAUUCGAAUGCAGCAACACUAGUGGGCCAUUUUUGGUAAGCAGAACUGGCGAUGCGGGAUGAACCGAACGCGAGGUUAAGGUGCCGGAGUGGACGCUCAUCAGACACCACAAAAGGUGUUAGUACAUCUUGACAGCAGGACGGUGGCCAUGGAAGUCGGAAUCCGCUAAGGACUGUGUAACAACUCACCUGCCGAAUGUACUAGCCCUGAAAAUGGAUGGCGCUCAAGCGUCCCACCCAUACCUCGACCCUCAGGGUAGAAACGAAGCCCUGAGGAGUAGGCGGACGUGGAGGUCA